CUCCACCUCGGGAGCCCCUGGGGACUCUGUGACGGCCUCUGUUGCCCUGUGAUCUGCAGGUCCGGAGAGACGCACAGCUAAGAUGUCAGGACAUCCUGGAAGCUGGGAAAGGGUCUUGCCAUCUCUAAGCUGGACCUGGUGACCUUUUUGGAGGGAAAGAAAGAGCCCUGGACUGUGAAGAGUGAGGAGACCAUAGCUGCACAGCCAGUCCAGAUGUAUAAUCUCAUCCCUGAACAUUUCUGAUGGUGUGAUUAUGACAUGUGACUUUAUCUGGCAACAGAGUGAGUUGUUGCUCCCGCCUGAGCCCAGCCCCCAGAAAGGAUUGUGACAUAUCGUUGGACCCAGAAUUGAGGUGCAGUUUUGACACACUUCUGUCUAGCAGCUGAGUAUUGUGAUCUUCAGAACUGGCCCAGCCUACAAAUAGGAUUGUGCCACACUGCUGGACCCAGCACCUAGAUGAUGUAACUAUUCUCCUGCCUUGGUGCUACUCAAAAAAGACAUUAACAUAUCUCAGAGCCUUGCACCCAGGUAAUGUGAGUCUCCUCUCCUGCCUUGCUGCUGCACACAGAAGCGGGUUAUGUACAGGAUUGUUAAUCUCAUUUGGACCUUCCUGCACCUAUGAUUGUGACACAUGCCUCUGUGUAGAACCCAAGUGAGUUUUCUCUCCUGUUUGGAUUUAACCCACAGAUGGAAUCGUGACAUAUCGCUGCACCAGAAACUAGGUGAUGUGACUCCAUUUCCUUGCCUCUGUGCUUUCCACAUUAGGCAUUGGGACAUAUCACUGGGCCUUGCAUCCAGGUGAUGGGAGUUUUCUUUUUCUUUCUUUCUUUCUUUCUUUUUUUUUUUUUUGAGACAGAAUUUCGCUCUUGUUACCCAGGCUGGAGUGUAAUGGUGCAAUCUUGGCUCAAGGCAACCUCCGCCUCCUGGGUUUAAACAAUUCUGUCUCAGCCUCCCAAGUAGCUUAGAUUACAGGCAUGCGCCACCACGCCUGGCUAAUUUUUGUAUUUUUAGUAGAGACAGGGUUUCUCCAUGUUGGUCAGGCUGGUCUCGAACUCCUGACCUCAGGUGAUCCACCUGCCUUGGCCUCCCAAAGUGCUGGGAUUACAGUUGUGAGCCACCGUGCCCGGCCAGUGAUGGGAGUUUUCUCUCCUGCUUUGGUGCUGACCACAGUGAGCAUUGUAAAAUAUUGCUGCCAUCACCCCUAGAUUAUGUUAACUCUCCUCUGCUUUGCCCACGUGGUUCACUGUGACAUAUUACUGGGUCUAAAACCCAGAAAAUGUAACUCCCUUAUUUAGGUUCUGCCUGCAGGAGCCAUUGUCACACAUCUCUGUGCUCACCACCCAGGUGAUGUGACUGCCUUUUACUGCCUAGUUCCUUCUCACAAAACAUCUUGUGGCAUACUGCUAGGCCCAGUACCUGGCUGGUGUGACUCCUCUCUUCUUUCUAGGUUCCACCUGCAGCAAAGAUUGUAACAUACCGCUGGGCCCAACAGCAUAAUGACGUUAUUCUUUUGCCUUGGGCCUGCCCUCAGAAGGCACUAUAAAAUAUUCAUGGCCCCAGCGCCAAGGUGAUGUGUGUCUCCAGCCUGGAUCCUGCCCACAGAGGGCAUUAUGACAUAUCUCUUGGCCCAUCAGAUGUUUAAUAUUAUCUCCUCCCAUUUCCUACCCUGUGUUUGCCUGUAAGAGACAUUGUCACAUGUUCCUGGGCCCAGCACCUAGGUGAUGUCUUCCUGAGACCUGUCCAUAUGGGGAUUGUGAUAUAUUGUGUGGCCCAGAACUUACUUGAUGCGACUCUCCUCUCAUGACUAGGCCCUGCUUACAGGUGUGAUUGUGACACACAGCUUGGCCUAGCCCCUAAGUUAUGUUACUCUGCUCUUAUUCUUCAGUCAUUUUCACAGGGGGCAUUGUGACAUAUUGCUAGACUGAGAACUUAGGUGAUGUGACUCUCCUCUACUGCUUGGAAUAUUCCCAAAAAGAGAGUUUGAUAUAUUGCUUAGCCAGGAUCCUAGGUGAUGUUACUCUUUUCUCCUGCCUAAACCCUGCAUACAUUAUGUAUUUUGGCACUGGGGCCACAACCUAGGUGAUGUAACUCUCCUGCAUGGGCUUUGCCUACAGGGGUAUGAUGAUGUUUCUUUUCUUUCAUCACCCAAGUGGUGUGACUCUCCACUUAUGCCUGGGUCUUGAUGAAAGAGGAAUUGUGACAUAUCCCUGGCCCUAGCACUUAGGUGAUGUAACUUGCCUUUAUUGCCAGGGCAUGGCAUAUUAUGAAUAUUGGACGUAUCUCUGGGACUGACACCUAGGGGAUGAGAGGUUCCUGCCUUGGCCCUGCCCACAGGAGGCUUUGUGGCAUGUCUCUGGCCUCAUUACCUAGAAAGAUGUGACUCUUCUCUUCUACCUGCAUUCUUCCCACAGAGAAGAUUGUGACAUCACUGGAUCCAGCAAUUAGAAAAUGUUUCUCUCCUGCCUGAGCCUUGCCCACAGGAAUAUUGUGACAUAUCCUUGGGCUCAGCACCCAGGUGAUGGAACUCUGCCACCUGUGCCCUGUCUACUUAGGCUAUUGUGAAGCUGGUUUCAAUACCCAGGUGAUGUAACAUUCCUGCCAGGCCACUGCCUUCCAGGGAUAUUGUUACGUACCUUUGUGCCAAUCACCAAGGUGAUGUGAAUCUUUUCACCUGCCUAGUCCUUGUUCACUAGGGGAUAAUGAUAUCUAUUGCUGGUUUCAGCACCAAGCUGAUGUUACUUGCCUCUUCUUCACAGAUUCUGCUCACAGAAAAACUAACACAUCACUAGGCCCAUCAGCGAAAUUAUUUUGCCUGGCCCUGCCCUUAAAAGACAUUGUGACAUACUACAGUGCCCAGCAUCAAUGUAAUUUGUCUCCUGCCUAAACCCUGCCUACUGGGGGCAUUGUGACAUAUCUCUUGGCCCAUCAACUAUUUGAUGUGACUCUACUUUCUUACCUGGGCUUUGCCAAUAGUAGAGCUUGUGACCUAUCUCUGGGCCCAGCACCUAGAUGUUAUGACUCUCCCGCCUGGUCCAUGCACACAAAAAAGAGAGUGACUUAUACUAGGAUCAACACACAAAUGAUUCUAUUCUUCUGCAUUAUCCCAGCCCACAUGGCUUAUUGUGACAUCUCUAGGUUCAUCAUCUAGAUGAUAUGACUCUCCUUCCUGGGAACUGUCCAUAAUGAAGAUUGUGACACAUCACUUGGCCCAGCACCUAUGUGAUAUGACUCCUUUCUUUUGCCUGGGCCUAUCAGUUUGGGUGAUUGUGUCAUAUAGCUUUACUCAGCACCUUGAUUAUGUGACUCUCCUGUUUCUCCUGAGUCCUACCCACAGAGGUCAUUGCAACAUAUCCCUGAGCCCCUAAUUUAGGUAAUUUGACUCCUGCCUGGGCCCUACCCUCAUUGAUUUUUGUGACAUAGUUUUUGACUCAGCACCUAGGUAAUGUGAUUCUUCUCCACUGCUUGGACUCUGUCACAGAAGGUAUUGUGAUGUAUCACUGGGGCUGACACCUAGGUGAAGGUACUGUCUUCUCCUGCCUGGGCCCUGCAUAAAUUGUAUAUUUUGACAUUUCACUAGGUUCAACACAUGGGUGAUUCAACUCUCUCACAUGGACCGUGAGCAUGG
ensembl:lncRNA novel transcript